rnacentral:sRNA from 1 species
ACCACAAGCUCUAUUCUUCCCUGUUUUUCUUCUCAGCAUCUUACAAAACUAUUUCUUUCUUCAUAUUCUCUUUAUGUUUGGCUGAAAUCCUGAGUUGCCGACUCCCACUGUCUUCCUUCCCGACUUGAGUCAUCGGAAUGCGGAAGACAAUGAAUACGAAGAAGGGGUUGAACCAACACUAGAAUUUGUGAUGACAAAGAAGGACAUAACUGGGAGUGUAGCUCCGGCUACUUUGCUGGUUUUUAAUAAUAAGGUUGGAUUUUCCAGGAAGAAUAUGGACUCGAUCUGCAGUGUAGGACGUUCUACAAAGAAGGGGAAGAGACAACAGGUUUAUUGGAGAAAAAGCUCCACGAUUGGCUAGCGUGAAUCUUGGUAUCUUCAUAUGCAUGCAAUGUUCAGGGAUCCAUAAGAGUCUUGGGGUACAUAUAUCAAAUGUGAGAUCUGCCACUUUGGAUACAUGACUCCCAUAGCAGGUUGCAUAUAUCCAAUCCUGCUGCCGGCAACAGUCGUGGUAGAAGUGGAGGAAAUGACGGUGGUAAUUGAGGUGGAGUGGUAACAGGAGAGGUAGCAGGAGGCAGUGACUAUUGCGGCGAAGACAUUGUUGGUUGCAUGGGUUUUAUUGAAAACAAACUUAUACAUCCCAACGCAAAAGGAGAGAGGAGGCAAUGGAUGGCUUUGUUGAUAACGGGGAGUUCAAAGUCAAGAGGAGGGGCGUAAGCACAUAUUAAGUUUUUGUAUCUCAAUCUGAUUGUUUGAUUUUGGUUGUAUACAUCAUGGGUUGAGUGAUGCAGGUGAAGCUUUGUUUUAGGACCAUCUUGGAGAAGUAUUCUUUGUUGAGCUGCUAGAAAAUGGUCACUCAGUCUCUCAAGGGGGCAGCUUUGGAUUGCCUUUCCAGAAUGUUGAGGUGGUCAUUGAAAUUAAACUAAUUAAAACAUUAUUUGAUAAUUUUGGCAUAUGAAUUUUAAUUGGUAUUGAUUUUUUUUCACAACUUUUGGAACGACAAGAUGGGACUACCAAGUCCAGAGGUCAGAUGGUCCAAGUCCAGAGGUCGGAUGGUCAUCUAAGGUGCUGUUAGUCUUGCUCUCCAAAUGACUCUCAUGAAUGUGAACCUUGAUCAAACGUGCAGAAUAUUUGAGCAUAUUUGAGCAGAUAGUUUAUCCGGUAUUUUUGGAAAAAGAGUGAUAUGUCAGCAUAGUCAUGGUAUAUGACAAUGAUAAUUUGAAGAACCAUUUAAAGUAUUUUGAUAUUGCAGCAGAAGGCAGACUUUGAAGAGUUCACGCUGCACAGAAAGAUGAUGAAAUGCUACCCAUUGAAUCCAUCGUUGCUCCAUUGGAGUCGAAGCUUAAGCUUGCUGCAGGAGGUAUACUUCUGUUCUGCAAUAUGACCCCUUUAAUUUGUUUGUACAUGGGAGGUAUAGAGUGUUCAAUGUGUAUUUGGUUUCCAUAUUGUUUAUGGAUCUAUCGACUCAUUUAUUACAUGAAUCAAUAAUUAUAACGAGUUAAUUUUUUUUUACAUGAGCACA